rnacentral:rRNA from 1 species
GCAGUCGAGCGAACAGAUAAGGAGCUUGCUCCUUUGACGUUAGCGGCGGACGGGUGAGUAACACGUGGAUAACCUACCUAUAAGACUGGGAUAACUUCGGGAAACCGGAGCUAAUACCGGAUAACAUAUUGAACCGCAUGGUUCAAUAGUGAAAGGCGGCUUUGCUGUCACUUAUAGAUGGAUCCGCGCCGUAUUAGCUAGUUGGUAAGGUAACGGCUUACCAAGGCAACGAUACGUAGCCGACCUGAGAGGGUGAUCGGCCACACUGGAACUGAGACACGGUCCAGACUCCUACGGGAGGCAGCAGUAGGGAAUCUUCCGCAAUGGGCGAAAGCCUGACGGAGCAACGCCGCGUGAGUGAUGAAGGUCUUCGGAUCGUAAAACUCUGUUAUCAGGGAAGAACAAAUGUGUAAGUAACUGUGCACAUCUUGACGGUACCUGAUCAGAAAGCCACGGCUAACUACGUGCCAGCAGCCGCGGUAAUACGUAGGUGGCAAGCGUUAUCCGGAAUUAUUGGGCGUAAAGCGCGCGUAGGCGGUUUUUUAAGUCUGAUGUGAAAGCCCACGGCUCAACCGUGGAGGGUCAUUGGAAACUGGAAAACUUGAGUGCAGAAGAGGAAAGUGGAAUUCCAUGUGUAGCGGUGAAAUGCGCAGAGAUAUGGAGGAACACCAGUGGCGAAGGCGACUUUCUGGUCUGUAACUGACGCUGAUGUGCGAAAGCGUGGGGAUCAAACAGGAUUAGAUACCCUGGUAGUCCACGCCGUAAACGAUGAGUGCUAAGUGUUAAGGGGGUUUCCGCCCCUUAGUGCUGCAGCUAACGCAUUAAGCACUCCGCCUGGGGAGUACGACCGCAAGGUUGAAACUCAAAGGAAUUGACGGGGACCCGCACAAGCGGUGGAGCAUGUGGUUUAAUUCGAAGCAACGCGAAGAACCUUACCAAAUCUUGACAUCCUUUGACCGCUCUAGAGAUAGAGUCUUCCCCUUCGGGGGACAAAGUGACAGGUGGUGCAUGGUUGUCGUCAGCUCGUGUCGUGAGAUGUUGGGUUAAGUCCCGCAACGAGCGCAACCCUUAAGCUUAGUUGCCAUCAUUAAGUUGGGCACUCUAAGUUGACUGCCGGUGACAAACCGGAGGAAAGGGUGGGGAUGACGUCAAAUCAUCAUGCCCCUUAUGAUUUGGGCUACACACGUGCUACAAUGGACAAUACAAAGGGCAGCUAAACCGUGAGGUCAAGCAAAUCCCAUAAAGUUGUUCUCAGUUCGGAUUGUAGUCUGCAACUCGACUACAUGAAGCUGGAAUCGCUAGUAAUCGUAGAUCAGCAUGCUACGGUGAAUACGUUCCCGGGUCUUGUACACACCGCCCGUCACACCACGAGAGUUUGUAACACCCGAAGCCGGUGGAGUA